GAUGAACGCUGGCGGCGUGCCUAAUACAUGCAAGUCGAGCGGCAGCGCGAGUAGUUUACUACUUGGCGGCGAGCGGCGGACGGCUGAGUAACGCGUAGGAACGUACCCCAAGUGAGGGAUAAGCACCAGAAAUGGUGUCUAAUACCGCAUGUGAUCUAAGGAUUAAAGCUUCGGCGCUUUGGGAACGGCCUGCGUUAGAUUAGCUUGUUGGUAGAGGUAAAAGCUCACCAAGGCGACGAUCUAUAGCUGGUCUGAGAGGAUGAUCAGCCAGACUGGGACUGAGACACGGCCAGACUCCUACGGGAGGCAGCAGUAGGGAAUUUUCCACAAUGGGCGAAAGCCUGAUGGAGCAACGCCGCGUGCAGGAUGAAUGCCUUAGGGUUGUAAACUGCUUUUAUAUGUGACGAUAAUGACGGUAGCAUAUGAAUAAGGAUCGGCUAACUCCGUGCCACGCCGCCG
rnacentral:rRNA from 1 species